GGGUUUCGGUUGAAACCAUAGUGGCCACCGUCUCGUUCCUUUGCUCUUUCCUCCGUCAUUGUUGCCAUUUUUGGCAAAAGGUCAGGUGUACAACAACUUUUGCAGACCUGGCAUGGUUGAUUAGGAUGUUUGCCUCCUCUCUCCACCAAGUCUCAACCAAACAAGGUGUUGAGGAGUUCAAGGGAUCUCCAAUUUCAAUUCUCGAUAAAG